AUACGGAAGGUCCAGGCGUUAUCCGGAUUUAUUGGGUUUAAAGGGAGCGUAGGCCGUCUGUUAAGCGUGUUGUGAAAUGUAGAUGCUCAACAUCUGAAUUGCAGCGCGAACUGGCAGACUUGAGUGUGCGCAACGUAGGCGGAAUUCGUGGUGUAGCGGUGAAAUGCUUAGAUAUGACACAGAACACCGAUUGCGAAGGCAGCUUGCUGGAAUGUAACUGACGCUGAGGCACGAAAGCGUGGGGAUC
rnacentral:rRNA from 1 species